GGAAUAAACUUUUCUUUCCUUAUGAUUUUUGGGUAUAAAUUUUAUUUAUAGUUUUGUGAAACUUUAUGCUAUUUAUUGUGAAUCCUUGAAAAUGGUAGCAUGGAUUUGGUGGAAACCUCUCAAAAAGAAAAAUAAAAUAAAAUAGUUUCUUUAUGUAUGUUGUGAAUUUAGGUUAUGAAAGGCUAUAAGGUAAAAGUUAUAUUAUUCAGUGGAUUCAAAAUGCUUAAAUUAAGUUAUGUGGUGACCAAGUGAAUUCUGGAAAUUAUUAAAUUGAUGUUUUGUGUUGUGGUUGAGUUGAAAUUGUUUAGUUGAGCUUCAUGUGAGUUGGAAGUGGUUUUAUUUGAGCUUCAUGUGAGCUGAAAGUGUUUAGUUGAUAAUUAAUGUGUGAUUGAGAUUUGCUUAUGGUGAUUGUGGCGGUUGCCAAUGAAUAUUGUUCUAAACAAAAAAAAAAUUGAUAUGGUGAAAUAAAUUAUAUUAUUCGGAUGUUUUGGUUAUUACUCAUUAUGAAAUAAAAUGCUCUGUCUGUGCACUAUUUAUGCCAGAUACGACAGAUUUAGAUGCUCUGCCUGUGAAAUAUUUAUGCCAGGUACGACAGAUUUAGAUGCUCUGCCUGUGCGAUAUCUAUACAGGUACGACAGAAUUUAGUGCUCUGCUUGUGCUUUAUUUCAUGCCAAGUAUGACAGAAUCGAAUGCUCUGCCCGUGUGAGAUUUUAAUAUACCGGGACAUCCUACAGAUCGUGCGGGAUAGUGUUUUGUUGGGUUGUGCCACGGUGUAGCAUCUUUCGUGGAUGUUUUCAUUUUGCACGCAUCUAUAUAGACUUUUUGUUGUUUAUUUUAAACUUAUGAAAUGUUGAAAGGCCGGAGGCCUAAUUACAAUAUUCUCAUGACUUUUUGCAAAUGAGUAAAGAUGUAAAUUAUUUUGUUCUGUAUAUGAUAAGGCCGGAGGCCUGAUUUUAGAUUUAUUUUCUGAUUUCUUAGUUUUAAUUAGGAUGUAUUUUGAUAUGUACUCAUAAAAAGGCCGGAGGCCUAUAGAUGAUAUUAUAUUAUGUGCUAGAUUAUGGUGCAGAAAAGUUUUUUUCAAAC